rnacentral:rRNA from 1 species
UACGAACUGUGCGAACGUUAUUCGGAAUCACUGGGCUUACAGGGUGCGUAGGCGGCUUGUUAAGUAGGGUGUGAAAGCCCCCGGCUCAACCGGGGAAUUGCGCCCUAAACUGGCGAGCUGGAGUGAGAUAGGGGUGUGUGGAACUUCCGGUGGAGCGGUGAAAAUGUGUUGAUAUCGGAAGGAACGCCGGUGGCGAAAGCGACACACUGGAUCUUGUCUGACGCUGAGGCACGAAAGCCAGGGGAGCGAACGGG